UCCUGACUAAUUGUUCCACAUGGAACAUUAGACCCACCCAGACAGGAGACUCACAUG
rnacentral:ncRNA from 1 species